UACGAAGGGGGCGAGCGUUGUUCGGAUUUACUGGGCGUAAAGGGCGCGCAGGCGGUCUUGAAAGUCAGGCGUGAAAGCCCCGGGCUCAACCUGGGAAUGGCAGUGGAUACUGGCAAGCUAGAGUGCGGUAGAGGGGUGUGGAAUUCCCGGUGUAGCGGUGAAAUGCGUAGAGAUCGGGAGGAACACCAGUGGCGAAGGCGGCACCCUGGACCAGCACUGACACUGAGGCACGAAAGCGUGGGGAGCAAACAGG
rnacentral:rRNA from 1 species